UACGUAGGGGGCAAGCGUUAUCCGGAAUCACUGGGCGUAAAGGGUGCGUAGGCGGCUGAUAAAGUCCGAGGUGAAAGGCUACGGCUUAACCGUAGUAAGCCUUGGAAACUUAUCGGCUUGAGUACAGGAGAGGAAAGUGGAAUUCCUAGUGUAGCGGUGAAAUGCGUAGAUAUUAGGAGGAACACCAGUGGCGAAGGCGACUUUCUGGACUGUUACUGACGCUGAGGCACGAAAGCGUGGGGAGCGAACAGG
rnacentral:rRNA from 1 species